UACGUAGGGCGCAAGCGUUAUCCGGAAUUAUUGGGCGUAAAGAGCUCGUAGGCGGUUUGUCGCGUCUGCCGUGAAAGUCCGGGGCUCAACUCCGGAUCUGCGGUGGGUACGGGCAGACUAGAGUGAUGUAGGGGAGACUGGAUUCCUGGUGUAGCGGUGGAAUGCGCAGAUAUCAGGAGGACACCGGUGGCGAAGGCGGGCUCUGGGCUGUAACUGGACCGGCUGAGGAGCGAAAGCGUGGGUAGCGAACAGG
rnacentral:rRNA from 1 species